UGGAUAUUUAUCAUGCUACAUGUAUUAAAGAGUAUAUUAUAUUUGAUUGGAUGUUCCAUAAAUUCAUACUUUAUUGUUGGAAGUUCUAUCAAUUACACCCCAGUUCUAUUGUUAUACUUCAUAGUUUCUAUUUCUGAAACAAGUGUAAAUUGAAUAGAUCUAUUGUUACGAAUAACAAUGGAUUUUGACCACAGGGUGUGACGAGCGGGGUUUCUGGAAACCCCUGCUUCUACAUCCCGAAAGUCCAUUGUUAUUCAUUACAAUAGAAAUUGAUUAUUUUUUAAAUAGCAUGAACAUAAGAAAUUACUAAUAGUGUUCACUACAAGUUGUUUCAAGAUAUUAAAAAAAACCCACACAUUUUAGGAAAUUCCAAUAGCGAAAAAAAUAUUAAGUAUCUAUUUUGAAUAAAAAAAAAGUCCUGUAAGGGAAAAAUCAUUUGAUUGAUAGCAUUGAAAACUAAAUAAAAUUGUUCGCGAUUUGCGAGAGAGAAAAAAAUUCUGACCCCGACAAAAAACCAUAACCCCCCUUUGAAGUUAAAAUGGUUGCUCCCUAAAUACUCCUUUUCUUGAAGGUAACAUUUUUGAUCCCAGUCAUAUGUCUCUAUUCUAAAGCAUUGAUCUUAAAAAAAACGGGGAUUCUAUUUCCCGGACCCCCCCCCCCCCCCCCUGGAUUGCCCCGAGUCCGAAUAUGAAUGUUUGUUUAUUCUCGAGAAGGGGGCUUCUUUUUUUUUUUAUAAAAUAGUUACAUAAAAAAUACUUUUAUGAUUACCUUCAUUAAACUGAUACUGGUAAGUACUUUGGGUUACAAUAUUGCCUUUAUCUUUAGUCUCUUCUACCAAUUCUAACGCUUGACUCAAGAUGUCGUCCGUCUUAUACCCGUCCAUAUUGACAACUGCAUACAAGGAGCAUGAUGUAUUUUUUUUUGUAACAAGAAUGCACGAAACGGUAAACCUUGAACUACAGAUCCAUAUUAGCACCAGGAUUUAACGGGAAUAUGCAAAACAGCAACUUUGACAUUCGUAAAAUCAACUCACUUGUCAAAGUUUGAACGAACAUAGCCAAAGUAAGGUUACUAGUGGGGUUUCAUGUAAAAAAAAUGUUUUUCUUAUAAAUCGUGAUUUGAUUUUGUCAAUAAAUAUGCUAUCCGUUCUUUUUCAUUUAAUAAUCAAUGUUAACAAAUAAAGGGUUUAGCAAUGGGUGUAAGUUAGUUAUUGUUCUGCAACUCAUUCAUCAUUUGUUCUUCAUGUGAUCAUCAUUUUAUAUUGUUUAUGUUUCAUUGCGUACAUCACUUUAUAUGCUCCAGUUUUAGGAGUUUUAUACAGGACAGUGUAGGAACCCAUGUUACUUUCCCCUCUCUUCUGAGUGACGAAAACUGCUCAGCAGGCCGUGUGCACAACUGCAAGGAACAUUCAGCGGACACGUUGUCCAAAGGAACAAUUCGUGGCUAACCACAGCUUUUUCACCAUUUGGAUUGGUAGUGAAAUAAAAGUCAGCUCCUGAUUGUUUUAUCUUUACAUAAACCCAGUCAUCUUGGUUAAACUCGCUGGUCCGGCCAGUACAGUGAAAAAGCUACGACUUGCCUGUUGUUUUUCUUGGAUAACGUACGCCACUCCACGACAGUCAGCAGACCCAUAACGUAGUUCCAACGACAACGUUUCGUGCUAGUAAAUUGACGGCAACCUGUCUUUACAUAUCCAGACAAGGAACGACUACGUAGCAACCUUUACACUGACAGCGGACUACAUAACUUGUGUGUACUAGGCAGCAACCCAACAAGGUUGAGUCACCAUGGAUCCCAGUCACGUGGAACAGCAAGAAGAGGUUCAGCCCAAAGAGGGAGAUGUCCCUGAACUAUUAGAAAAUCCGUCUAAUACAACACAUUCAGAUGAAAAUCCCGAGACUAGGCGAGUACGUGACCUCACGGAGAAAGGAAAAGGAGCUUUCACAGAAAAACGUGACAAGUUCUGUCAGGAACAAGAGGCUCUCUGGACAGACAUUGAAUCCCAGUUAUUGGAAGUCACCACGCCUCCUAACGAGCUCCAGCAACUCCUAACAGCCCAGGACAAACUUGUUAAAGCCUGUAAUAAUUAUCGUAGGCUCACAGAUGAAUUCCUGGACUUUCUGAAAAGGACCAGAACAUCGGAGAGUCAAAAAGAAAUAGAAGCAUGUAAUCUCUCAUUGGGUUUUCGUCUGUCCAAAGUGGAACUGGUUAUGGAAAAACUACACGAGCAUCGCCUCGCCCUAACAAAGGCCAAAUCCACUAAAACAAAGACCUCAAAGGGUAAGAAAACCUCACACAGCGGUAGCUCUAACGUGUCAGACAUGUCAAGCCUAGCACGGAGAAAGCGUGCCAAGGCAGAGGCUGCUAAGUCUAAAAUAGCCUUUGUCGAAAAACAUGCCCUUAUCCUACAUCAGGAGGCAAUGUUAGAGGAACAAGCCCUGUUCAGACAAAUUGAAAUGGAACAGGAAGCAGCACGCAAAAAGGCUCAAAUGCAACAAGAAGCCGCACGAGUAAGCCGGGAAAAAGCCGACCUGAAGGCCAAAUUUAACAUUCUCGAAGCACAGAAAGAAGCCGUCGCCGCAGAAGCCGAGGCUCGUAUCCUGGAAUACGAUGACAGUCAAGCGUUGGACGAUCUUCCUAAUGAGACAGAAGACCCGCUCAAACGGGUGCAAGAUUUCAUAAACAAACAUCCUGUACCAACCGCCGAACAGGAAGUGUCAGGCCCUCUAAAGAAAAAACAAACUCCUGUAAAGCUAAGUCAUGAAGCACCAGCGUUCGUGCCAUCCGUGGCACUGAACUUGCCAUCACAAACACCUGAGGUCUUGCCUACACAUGCUAAGUCACCAGAAGUUAAUGUAUUCCCAGAUCUGGGAACAAUAACUGGCAUAGGAAAACAGGGCGUUUCAGAAAAGAUCCCUGUCUUACAACAAAAACAAGGCAUUAUUGAAGAGAUCCCUGUCUUACAACAAAAACAAGGCGUUAUAGAAGAGAUCACUGUCUUACAACAAAAACAAGGCGUUAUAGAAGAGAUCCCUGUUUCACACCAAAAACAAGGCGUAAUAGAAGAGAACCCUGUUGCAUACCAGCAACCAAUCAAUCCUACGUCGGAGAUAACCAGAUUUCUCCUUACGCAAGGACCUGUUGUUCUCACGGAUCACAAACUUUAACGACCGGGCAGAAUCCUUCCAUACAUGGAAAGCCAGCUUUAAAAACGUCAUAGACGAAUUACAAGUUUCGGACUCGGAACAGAUAGACCUACUGAUUAAGUGGCUAGGGCCAGAGUCUGCCAAACAUACCUUGAGUAUAAGGGCAACAAAUGCCAACAACCCAACAAGAGGCCUACAGAGGUUAUGGCAGAGACUGGAUGAGCGAUAUGGUUCUCCAGAAAUGUUGGAGGCCUCUCUCACAAGCAAACUUGUCAAUUUUCCUACCUUGACGAACAAAGAUAGCGCACGUCUUUAUGACUUGUCUGAUAUUCUAUCACAAAUAGAAUGUCACAAGGAAAAUCCCAAGCUGGGAUGUUUGCUUGCUUAUUUCGACUCUUCGUCCGGGAUAAAUCCUAUCGUGGAAAAACUGCCAUACGGACUCCAAGAAAAGUGGAUAACAAGGGCUUCAAGAUACAAGUCUAAAUAUGAAGUUGCCUUUCCACCUUUCACAGAAUUCUCUGCCUUCAUCAGGGAAAUUAGCAAAAUUAAGAACGAUCCUGGUUUCAUUUUUGGGUCAAGAGUCACACCAAGUACAAAAGGUGCUGCGCCAAAGUUCACACCUCAAACAUAUUCUGAAGUCAAUGUUUAUAAGACAGCAGUUGAACAGCAACCUGGAGACAGCAGUGAACAACAAAGUCUUUGCCUUUUGCAUAAUACAAAGCAUACCUUAAACGAAUGCCGAGCGUUCCGUGCCAAAUCAAUCGAGGAACGCAAGGAACAGUUGAGGCAAAACAAUCUUUGUUACAAAUGCUGAGAUUCAACUAUGCACAGAAGUCGUGAUUGCAACGCAAGUAUCAGUUGCAAUGAAUGCGGAAGUAAACAACACACCACCGCAUUACACACAAAUCGAGUGUACCAGCCCAAAGGUGCACCGCCUAGAUCAGUCGACGGCGGGGAGCUAAUUGAUACAGCCUACGGCGGGGAGCAACUUGAGUUAGCUGAAACCAAGCUAACCUCUGUUAGUUCAACUUGCACAGAUAUCUGUAAAGAUGGCAACAGUAGUAAAUCUUGUGCCAAGAUACUUCCUGUGAGUCUCUUUGACAAAAAUAAUCAGGACAAAGUAAUUCGCAUGUAUGCAAUUAUUGACGACCAAAGCAACCGGUCUCUCUCCGCUCCUGAAUUCUUCAGCCUAUUCAACGUACAGGAAGAAACAAAAGACUAUAUAUAUGUUAUCCACAUGCUCCGGCAGCAAGGUUACUUCCGGUAAACGAGGAAACGGCUUUGUCGUAAAGUCUGUACAAGACAAUACUAGAUUCAAUCUGCCUGAACUGAUUGAAUGCGAUAACAUACCCAAUAAUCGGAACGAAAUUGAUACACCUGAGGAUAUAUUGCAAUAUCAACACUUGCAAGAACUACAAAAAAAUAUUCUCCCGAUUGAUGGAAAAUGCAAAAUCCUAUUGCUCAUUGGAAGAGACCUAAUAGAGGCACAUCACGUCCUUGAUCAACGUCUAGGACCACCAAAGGCUCCAUUUGCGCAAAAGUUAAACCUGGGUUGGAUUAUCGUUGGUUAAAUACGCUCCGAUAAGCAACAUGUUCACCUUGAACUCACUACAAAGGAAACGAAUCCAACUUGCAGUGUUGUGAAACCACAUACAAAGAAAUUACCUGAGUGUAAUAAAACCAACACCCAGUCAAAUGGAAUUCAAACUGAUUCGUUUAAACAUUAUCCCCGUUUACAUGGGCAGCCGAAAACGAAAUCAGCAACUUCGAUCGUCAGAUUUGCAGAAGCCGAAAAGUUCAUUUCGGAAGCAACACCACCAAAAGUGAAUGCCGACAAAGAAAAGUACAUCCGAAAACAUUUAAUUCCCAAGGAAAGCUUCAAUUCGCCUUUGGAUACGCAAGGACAAGAGGAAAGUAGAAUAGACAAUUCCGACUUAAGUCACAGAGAAAACGAACAUGGCACCGGAUGGUCUACUGUAUGCCAUAAACGUAAAGGAAAGCGUCCGUUUCGCAAGACGUCCCCGUUGGAUCGCAUAUCUGUGUCGAAAGGAGAUUCAUCCAUCAGAACUACAGCCAUGGAAUUGGAUCUUAUAUCGCCGCGAUCUCGUCGGAAACACCACCUUAUCUAGGAAAGAAGCUGUGAAAUACCCAGCCUCCCGUUGGAUUACUUCCAAGUUCAUAUAAGUGGAACUUGGGACGGCUGUUAUAUAUUUAACAUUUUAUUUGUUUUAAUAAUGGAAUAGUGAUGUCAGAUAGACCUCAGACGGGGAGUGUUCUGCAACUCAUUCAUCAUUUGUUCUUCAUGUGAUCAUCAUUUUAUAUUGUUUAUGUUUCAUUGCGUACAUCACUUUAUAUGCUCCAGUUUUAGGAGUUUUAUACAGGACAGUGUAGGAACCCAUGUUACUUUCCCCUCUCUUCUGAGUGACGAAAACUGCUCAGCAGGCCGUGUGCACAACUGCAAGGAACAUUCAGCGGACACGUUGUCCAAAGGAACAAUUCGUGGCUAACCACAGCUUGACCUGUCAAAUACAAGAUACAGAGUGCCAGUCCCACUUUGAUGAAGUAUUAAAAGCAAUGGUUGGAAUAAGGAAAGCUUUAUUAUUUAAACAGGAAACAGUAAUGAAUGAAUGAAGAUUUGUAUCCCUUUUCAAUUCAUCUGAAAACCUGAUGAUUGAGCGGUCUUGCAAAAAAUGUACCUACGGAGUCAGAUGGGCUAGUGCAUUCAUUUCCAUAAACUGAACUCAGUAACUGUUCAAGGCUUUACACAAUACCUGAGUGUACAUUUCCAGUUACUAAUUACAAUGAUUUAUGUGUAACCUAAAUUUCAUAUUGUUACACUUCUUCGUCACUCGACAGAUAGAAUUAGACACAUCUCUGGAGAAGAAAAAAAUCUUUGUAAUGUUCAAGACAGAAUUAAUGAAAAAGAUCAAGAACUAAUACAACUAUAUGCUUGUAGUACAGAUGUAAACUUUUAUGAAAUGUUUUAAACUAAAGCUACACUUUAAAGCUUUCUGAAAAUAUAUUAAACCAGGAGACAUAUUAGCUACAAUUUAAUUUUAAGAUGACACUGGACAUUCUUAGUUGUUUAUUACUCAAUGAAUAGUUAGUUUAUAGCAUAAGGCCAUAAGUUAUUGUGACCCAAUUAAUUUGUUAUAAUGAUAUUUACUUCAUUUUUAAAAAAUUGCAUUAAUAUUUGUUUAUGAUCAAUGAAUCAGAAAAACUG